rnacentral:lncRNA from 13 species
GCAAAGGAGAAGGAAGCUCUGAUGAGAGCACAGAAGGACCGCACAUUCCCACCUGCAGCCCAAUCCGCCCUUCGCUGCACUCUCCCUGGCUUGCCUACCCCACGGUAUCCCCUGAAACUGGUCAAGAGGCACUGGCAAGAAGGGAAGGGGAGCCACGUGGCACCGUCGGUUGCUGGAGGCCCGCGUGCUUAGCUCCGGGCGGCAGGUGUGGCAGGGGUGUCCAUGCUCCUGUCUGAGACCAGCUUCCCAGCGGGAAUUAUUUAUUUGCUGUCGACUCCUAGAGGGCCAGCAGAGCAGAGGCACUAGUUCCUGGAGGCGGCCAAUCGGAAGAGCCUUUCAUGAUUAAACUGUGGGUUGGAGGAGGAGGAAGGAAAAGGAUGUGGCCACAAGUGUAACUCAACUGCUUCAAUAAACAUCCUUGAACAUACAUCUUGUCAUGUGUGUGAGAGAAAGAGGAAGACAGAGAGGCAGAGAGAGACAGAACCAGAGACUGAGAGGGAGAAGACGUCAAGAUGCAGAGUCAGGGGCACGAGCGUUUUGAGACAUGGAGAAUGUUUGCCCCCCUUCUUAAAAUGCAUAGAGGCUGCUCUUGUGCUGACUAGGUGGGGCUGGCCUGUGAACUUUGACUGAUGGGAAGAAACCAUCAGAGAUACCAAGAUACAUGCUUGUUUGUUUCAGUUCUUGCGACAAUAUGAUGAAGCAUGGGGAACAAAUAAACACAAGUGCAGCAGCCGCCCAAGGAUUUAACAGCUCUUCAAUGAGCCACGCUGCAAGCUCAGAAGUAAUCCCACUAACGAGCAAAGCCAGAGUCCAGUUCUUCACUAGAAGGCGCUGGUGGAGGUUGUCAGAUGCCUUCCAUUACAGAUCCCCAAUGCAAUGGCCAGCAAAUGAGAGCAGCAGAGACGGACGAAAACCCUUCGGAAAUUCUGCAGAGAAUGUGUCCCCUUUCUUCAUGACGCUCGUGUUUCUCAUGCUGAAACAAUAA